rnacentral:rRNA from 1 species
UACGUAGGGGGCAAGCGUUGUCCGGAAUCAUUGGGCGUAAAGCGCGUGUAGGCGGCUCGGUAAGUCCGCUCUGAAAGUCCGGGGCUCAACCCCGGGAGGCGGGUGGAUACUGUCGAGCUAGAGUCCGGAAGAGGCGAGUGGAAUUCCUGGUGUAGCGGUGAAAUGCGCAGAUAUCAGGAGGAACACCGAUGGCGAAGGCAGCCCCCUGGGUCAAGAUUGACGCUCAUGCACGAAAGCGUGGGGAGCAAACAGG